UUUAGAUGCUUCGCAAGAUUGUGAAUCCUGGUCGAAGCGGCAAGCGAUUUUCCCAUAUAAAUUGAAUACCCAAUCGAAUUUAUAUACCGAAUACAACAAUAAAGAUUUGAACUUUCUAAUUUUUCCUAUUGUUUAUUAAAAUCUUACCUUUUUUCUUUUUAUCUACAGAGCCAUGUAUUUGUGUGUGUGUUGUGGAAAUAGAUGGUUGAGAAUUAAGGAGGGUUUAGUUUACAAAGAGAAGGGACCAAAGGAACUUAC
rnacentral:misc_RNA from 1 species